rnacentral:rRNA from 1 species
GUGUCAGCCGCCGCGGUAAUACGUAGGGUGCAAGCGUUAAUCGGAAUUACUGGGCGUAAAGCGUGCGCAGGCGGUUCGGAAAGAGAGGUGUGAAAUCCCAGGGCUUAACCUUGGAACUGCACUUUUAACUCCCGAGCUAGAGUAUGUCAGAGGGGGGUGGAAUUCCGCGUGUAGCAGUGAAAUGCGUAGAUAUGCGGAGGAACACCGAUGGCGAAGGCAGCCCCCUGGGAUGAUACUGACGCUCAUGCACGAAAGCGUGGGGAGCAAACAGGAUUAGAUACCCUGGUAGUCCACGCCCUAAACGAUGUCAACUAGCUGUUGGGGGCUUCGGCCCUUAGUAGCGCAGCUAACGCGUGAAGUUGACCGCCUGGGGAGUACGGUCGCAAGAUUAAAACUCAAAUGAAUUGACGGGG